UACGUAGGGGGCAAGCGUUGUCCGGAUUUAUUGGGCGUAAAGAGCGUGUAGGCGGUUUGGUAGGUCCGCUGUGAAAACUCGAGGCUCAACCUCGAGACGCCGGUGGAAACCAUCAGACUAGAGUCCGGAAGAGGAGAGUGGAAUUCCUGGUGUAGCGGUGAAAUGCGCAGAUAUCAGGAGGAACACCAAUGGCGAAGGCAGCUCGCUGGGACGGUACUGACGCUGAGACGCGAAAGCGUGGGGAGCAAACAGG
rnacentral:rRNA from 1 species